rnacentral:rRNA from 1 species
UACGAAGGGGGCUAGCGUUGCUCGGAAUCACUGGGCGUAAAGGGUGCGUAGGCGGGUCUUUAAGUCAGGGGUGAAAUCCUGGAGCUCAACUCCAGAACUGCCUUUGAUACUGAGGAUCUUGAGUUCGGGAGAGGUGAGUGGAACUGCGAGUGUAGAGGUGAAAUUCGUAGAUAUUCGCAAGAACACCAGUGGCGAAGGCGGCUCACUGGCCCGAUACUGACGCUCAGGCACGAAAGCGUGGGGAGCAAACAGG